AGAUGGCAAAGAAGAGAAACUUCUCCAACAUGGAGAUCGAGACUAUCACCAGGGAAGUGGAAAGAAAUAAAAUUGUUUUAUUUGGGAGUUUAAAGAGUGGGAUUAAAGGUGCCCACAAAAACAAAAUAUGGACCCAAAUUACGACUUCCGUUAAUAGUGUGGGGGUUGAGAAGCGCACUCCAGCAGAGGUGAAAGAAAAGAUACAGAGAUCGCCACAAAGAGGCGCGUCUUGGCUCUGAAGAGGAGCCAGAGUCAGACUGGGGGAGCCCCGGAUCCAAGUCUCCAGCUAACGCCGAACGAGGAGCGGGAUUAAUGACGCUUAUUGUUAUUUAGAAGAAGAUUAUUAUUAUUAAUUUAUUUUAAAAGAAGAAGAAUUUCAUUUUUA